rnacentral:lncRNA from 1 species
GAAAGCCCUUGGGUUUCUCUUGAUGUUAUAACAUAAUACAAACAAAACAAAGGCAAAACACAGAAUUUACAGAAUGUCAGUUUCUCACAGCAGCUGACUGAGGGCUUCUAGAGUCAGUGGGAAUUGCAGGAUGCCCAGGAUGGGUAUGAGGGAUGCAGACAAGACAUCGGGAGCCAGGGUUCCAGCUGCAACCUUGCCCCUGAUUGGCUCAUUGUGUGGCUGUAGGAGGAGACGGUGGAGAAGAAAAAGACUUUACCAGGCUGUCUGCAGACACCCUUGUCCUAGAGGCCCUGGAGUGGGACAGCUGGGUGGCUCCUCGGAAGACUCCACAACCCCUUGGUACUCAAUGAUUAAGUGAUGAAAGAAAGUGCUUUUAAUUGUGUUCGUUGGUAUGAGGGGAAAAACCCAAAACCUUGGGUAAUCUACUGUCAGAAAACUGAGAAUCAUCAGUAUCAAGAAGGUUCUUCUCCUGAAAGGAGCCCCUUGACACAUUUGCAAAAUAAACGGUUUUCAUUGGUCAGACGAAAACAGUUUCCAAGGAUUGGGAACUUGUGGUCUCCGAUGGCAGCUUCCCCUGCUCCCUCUGCUUCCCUGUCUCCUUUCUGGCGUAAUUGCUCACCUGGCAAACCAGCACCAAGCUGGGACCCCAACCCUGCACACAGCCCAACUCCUCAGUGGCAAGGCCAGCAGCCUUGGACAUCUGGGCCUCUGUUCUCAUACAAAGCUUCAGCACCAUGUUUGAUUUCCCUGAGAAGGUUGGCAAUUGUGGCCAAUUCCCAAAGCACUGGUAUUCUUUCUGGUUCCUCUUGACCAACCGUGAGUAACCCCAUCACCCUCCCACCCCAGGACAUUCAGUUGGUGACCAUCUAUAGAGACAUCUGACACUGAGAUCAAUGAUAUCCACCAUAGCACUUAGCACGGGGCCAGGCACAGGGCAGGAGCUCCACAAAGCUCAGUGUGGCUGGUGGCAGCUGGGACAGGGAAGGGUGUGGGGAGACUUCUGUUGCUGGGAGAAGCUCUUUUCUUGAAGGGAGGCCUUUGCCCUUUCAGAGGGAGAACAAACAGAGAGGCAUUAAGUCUGCAAGCACAGCCCUCGCAAAGCCUGACCUGCAGGCCUCCUCCCGAGAGACACAUGAUUUACCUAGGCUGAAGUCAACAGAGGGACAUCUGAGCUCCAACUAUCCUUUCCCAUUUCACACCAGGGUGACAUUAAAUGGUUCCAUUUUCAGUGGAUGGGGGAAGGGAAGAGGGGAAAAUGGAGCUAAAGUUUCAUUUUUAAUGAACAUCAAUAAAAUAUUCUUCCCUAGGUACACUGUCCCCCUGCCCCAAACCUAUGCAAAAGAAAUAGUCUACUUCUUCCAGUGACUUUGGGCUUGUUUGCAUAUAUCUGGGGCUUUGGAUAUAACGUCAAGCGCUUCGUGAUGCCACAGUAAAUUCAGAAACACGUAAGAAGCUAUUGAUUUCGAUCCCCAACAACUCUUGGCUUGUAGACAUUUCACUGAUGAAUGUUACAGCAGCGGAUUUUUUAGUGGCCCUUCAUACAUGGUCAUGUCCCUCUGGGCUGGCCAG